rnacentral:rRNA from 1 species
CCUACGGGUGGCAGCAGUGGGGGAUAUUGCACAAUGGGGGGAACCCUGAUGCAGCGACGCCGCGUGGGUGAAGGAGUGCUUCGGCAUGUAAAGCCCUAUCGGCAGGGACGAAGCAAGACGGUACCUGACUAAGAAGCCCCGGCUAACUACGUGCCAGCAGCCGCGGUAAUACGUAGGGGGCGAGCGUUAUCCGGAUUCACUGGGUGUAAAUGGACCGUAGACGGCCAUGCACGCCAGGGGGGAAAGCCCGGGGCCCAACCCCGGGACUGCCCUUGGAACUGUGCGGCUAGAGUGCGGGAGGGGCAGGCGGAAUUCCUGGUGUAGCGGUGAAAUGCGUAGAUAUCAGGAGGAACACCGGCGGCGAAGGCGGCCUGCUGGACUGCGACUGACGUUGAGGCUCGAAAGCGUGGGGAGCGAACAGGAUUAGAUACCCCUGUAGUC